rnacentral:tRNA from 1 species
AAGGGAGACCUAAUUCAGGUAGGAGACGAAAAAAAAGUAGUCCCAACCAAGAAUCAAUCCCAAAAGGUCGGAGCGAGGCGAAAUUGGCUUUCAAACUAGGUUCUGGGUUCACACAAGACCUGAAUCAGGAACAAGGGCUAUUAGCUCAGGUGGUUAGAGCGCACCCCUGAUAAGGGUGAGGUCCCUGGUUCGAGUCCAGGAUGGCCCACCUGCACAGGUGGCAAAAACAAGAGAAGCGAGGAAUCAGCACCUUAUCUUAUCUAUAUAUAAGAGAGAAUGCUGGCUCUGAGUAAAGAGUCCAGAGGAACCUUGAAAACUGCAUGGAGCUGGGUGAAAAAGCCAAAAAAGAAGACCGCAA